ACGUAAUAGAUACCCUGGUAGUCCACGCCCUAAACGAUGUCUACUAGUUGUUGGUGGAGUAAAAUCCAUGAGUAAACGCAGCUAAACGCGUAAAGUAGACCGCCUGGGGAGUACGGUCGCAAGAUUAAAACUCAAAUGAAUUGACGGGGGCCCGCACAAGCGGUGGAUUAUGUGGAUUAAAUUCGAUGCAACGCGAAAAACCUUGCCUGGCCUUGACAUGUAACGAACUUUCCAGAGAUGGAUUGGUGCUCGAAAGAGAACGUUAACACAGGUGCUGCAUGGCUGUCGUCAGCUCGUGUCGUGAGAUGUUGGGUUAAGUCCCGCAACGAGCGCAACCCUUGCCAUUAAUUGCCAUCAUUUAGUUGGGCACUUUAAUGGGACUGCCGGUGACAAACCGGAGGAAGGUGGGGAUGACGUCAAGUCCUCAUGGCCCUUAUGGCCAGGGCUUCACACGUAAUACAAUGGUCGGUACAGAGGGUUGCCAACCCGCAGGGGGAGCCAAUCCCAGAAAAGCCGAUCGUAGUCCGGAUUGUAGUCUGCAACUCGAC
rnacentral:rRNA from 1 species